rnacentral:rRNA from 3 species
AGAGUUUGAUCAUGGCUCAGAACGAACGCUGGCGGCGCGUUUUAAGCAUGCAAGUCGAACGGUAGAGGUAGCAAUACCUUGAGAGUGGCGAACGGGUGAGUAACACGUAGGUGAUCUGCCUUUGGGAGGGGGAUAGUCCAUGGAAACAUGGGGUAAUACCCUAUGAGGCCUGUAGCGAUGGUUACAGGUGAAAGGUGCAAUUGUACCGCCUGAAGAUGAGCCUGCGGCCUAUUAGUUAGUUGGUGAGGUAAUGGCCCACCAAGACCGCGAUAGGUAGCCGGCCUGAGAGGGUGUACGGCCACACUGGGACUGAGACACGGCCCAGACUCCUACGGGAGGCAGCAGCUAAGAAUCUUCCGCAAUGGACGAAAGUCUGACGGAGCGACGCCGCGUGGAUGACGAAGGCCGAGAGGUUGUAAAAUCCUUUUCUUGGUGAAGAAUAAGAAUUGGAGUGGAAUGCCAGUUUGAUGACGUUAGCCAAGGAAUAAGCUCCGGCCAAUUACGUGCCAGCAGCCGCGGUAAUAC